AACGCUGUGAUGAGGUUAAACCCUAUGUGGGUUUGGGCAGUGGUGGGAUUUCCUGCCGUGAGCUUCUUUAAAAACGACUUCUUCUUCCACUGAGCGUU